AUUGAACGCUGGCGGCAGGCCUAACACAUGCAAGUCGAGCGAGCGGCGGACGGGUGAGUAAUGUAUGGGGAUCUGCCCGAUAGAGGGGGAUAACUACUGGAAAGGGUGGCUAAUACCGCAUACUAUCGGAUGAAGACAUAUGGGAUUAGCUUGUAGGUGGGGUAAAGGCUCACCUAGGCGACAAUCACUAGAUGGUCUGAGAGGAUGAUCGGCCACACUGGGCCGGAUACACGGCCCGGACUCCUACGGGAGGCAGCAGUGGGGAAUAUUGCACAAUGGGCGCAAUCCGGAUGCAGCCAUGCCGCUUGUAUGAAGAAGGCCUUAGGUUUGUAAAGUACUUUCAGCGGGGAGGCGUUACCCGCAGAAGAAGCACCGGCUAACUCCGUGCCAGCAGCCGCGGUAAUAC
rnacentral:rRNA from 1 species